AUUAGCUAAUUUUUGUAAGCACCUCUGUCAUCUUAUCUCAGAAGCUUAGUGUAGUCAAGGUUGGUUAGUGCUUGGAUAGGAGACUGCCUAGGAAUAUGAGAUAGUAAACA
rnacentral:rRNA from 1 species